rnacentral:rRNA from 1 species
GAAUAUUGCGCAAUGGAGGCAACUCUGACGCAGCAACGCCGCGUGCGGGAAGAAGGUCUUCGGAUCGUAAACCGCUUUUCUGAGGGAAGAGCAAGGACGGUACCUCAGGAAUAAGUCUCGGCUAACUACGUGCCAGCAGCCGCGGUAAAACGUAGGAGGCGAGCGUUAUCCGGAUUUACUGGGCGUAAAGCGCGUGCAGGCGGUCCUGCAAGUCAUGCGUGAAAGCGCCCGGGCUCAACCGGGAGAGGUCGUGUGAAACUGCAAGACUUGAGGCAGAGAGAGGCGAGUGGAAUUCCGGGUGUAGUGGUGAAAUGCGUAGAUAUCCGGAGGAACACCAGUGGCGAAGGCGGCUCGCUGGCUCUGUACUGACGCUCAGACGCGAAAGCAUGGGGAGCGAACGGG